rnacentral:pre_miRNA from 1 species
GUUGAGGGGGAUGCUGUCUGGUUCGAGACCGCUCAAUUUUUCAAGGGGGAGUGACUUCAAUGGAACGAUCUCGGACCAGGCUUCAUUCCCCUCAAC